UAGGGAAUCUUCCGCAAUGGGCGAAAGCCUGACGGAGCAAUGCCGCGUGAGUGAAGAAGGCCUUCGGGUCGUAAAACUCUGUUAUAAGAGAAGAACAAAUUGUAGAGUAACUGCUACAGUCUUGACGGUAUCUUAUCAGAAAGCCACGGCUAACUACGUGCCAGCAGUCGCGGUAAUACGUAGGUGGCAAGCGUUGUCCGGAUUUAUUGGGCGUAAAGGGAGCGCAGGUGGUUUCUUAAGUCUGAUGUGAAAGCCCACGGCUUAACCGUGGAGGGUCAUUGGAAACUGGGAAACUUGAGUACAGAAGAGGAAUGUGGAACUCCAUGUGUAGCGGUGGAAUGCGUAGAUAUAUGGAAGAACACCAGUGGCGAAGGCGACAUUCUGGUCUGUUACUGACACUGAGGCUCGAAAGAGUGGGGAGCAAACAGG
rnacentral:rRNA from 1 species